ACGUAGGGUGCGAGUGUUAAUCGGAAUUACUGGGCGUAAAGCGUGCGCAGGCGGUUAUAUAAGACAGGCGUGAAAUCCCCGGGCUUAACCUGGGAAUGGCGCUUGUGACUGCAAAGCUGGAGUGCGGCAGAGGGGGAUGGAAUUCCGCGUGUAGCAGUGAAAUGCGUAGAUAUGCGGAGGAACACCGAUGGCGAAGGCAAUCCCCUGGGCCUGCACUGACGCUCAUGCACGAAAGCGUGGGGAGCAAACAGGAUUAGAUACCCUGGUAGUCCACGCCCUAAACGAUGUCAACUGGUUGUUGGGUCUCUUCUGACUCAGUAACGAAGCUAACGCGUGAAGUUGACCGCCUGGGGAGUACGGCCGCAAGGUUG
rnacentral:rRNA from 1 species